rnacentral:rRNA from 1 species
UCGGGAAUUUUGGGCAAUGGGCGAAGGCCUGACCCAGCAACGCCGCGUGAGGGAUGAAGUAUUUCGGUAUGUAAACCUCGAAAGAAUGGGAAGAAUAAAUGACGGUACCAUUUAUAAGCUCCGGCUAACUACGUGCCAGCAGCCGCGGUAAUACGUAGGGAGCAAGCGUUGUUCGGAUUUACUGGGCGUAAAGGGCGCGUAGGCGGCGCGGUAAGUCACUUGUGAAAUCUCUGAGCUUAACUCAGAACGGCCAAGUGAUACUGCUGUGCUAGAGUGCGGAAGAGGCAACCGGAAUUCUUGGUGUAGCGGUGAAAUGCGUAGAUAGCAAGAGGAACACCUGAGGCGAAGGCGGGUUGCUGGGCCGACACUGACGCUGAUGCGCGAAAGCCAGGGGAGCAAACG